rnacentral:tRNA from 1 species
GGUGAGGUGGCCGAGUGGCUGAAGGCGCGCCCCUGCUAAGGGUGUAUAGGGGAAACUCUAUCGAGGGUUCGAAUCCCUCCCUCACCGCCA